rnacentral:rRNA from 1 species
GACGAACGCUGGCGGCGUGCCUAACACAUGCAAGUCGAGCGGGGUUGAAGCGAGAGGUAACUCGAACUUCUACCUAGCGGCGGACGGGUGAGUAACGCGUGGGCAACCUGCCUCAAGGUUUGGGAUAACAGCCCGAAAGGGCUGCUAAUACCGGAUAUGCCUAUGGCCUCGCAUGGGGCUAUGAGCAAAGGGGAAACCCGCCUUGAGAUGGGCCCGCGUCCCAUCAGCUAGUUGGUGAGGUAACAGCUCACCAAGGCGACGACGGGUAGCCGGCCUGAGAGGGUGACCGGCCACACUGGGACUGAGACACGGCCCAGACUCCUACGGGGGGGCAGCAGUGGGGGAUCUUGCACAAUGGGCGAAAGCCUGAUGCAGCGACGCCGCGUGAGCGAAGAAGGCCUUCGGGUUGUAAAGCUCUGUCUGGAGGGACGAACAAAAAUGACGGUACCUCCGGAGGAAGCCACGGCUAACUACGUG